AUUGAACGCUGGCGGCAGGCUUAACACAUGCAAGUCGAGCGGGGAGAUGUAGCUUGCUACAUUUCCUAGCGGCGGACGGGUGAGUAAUGCUUAGGAAUCUGCCUAUUAGUGGGGGACAACAUUCCGAAAGGAAUGCUAAUACCGCAUACGCCCUACGGGGGAAAGCAGGGGAUCUUCGGACCUUGCGCUAAUAGAUGAGCCUAAGUCAGAUUAGCUAGUUGGUGGGGUAAAGGCCUACCAAGGCGACGAUCUGUAGCGGGUCUGAGAGGAUGAUCCGCCACACUGGGACUGGGACACGGCCCAGACUCCUACGGGAGGCAGCAGUGGGGAAUAUUGGACAAUGGGCGCAAGCCUGAUCCAGCCAUGCCGCGUGUGUGAAGAAGGCCUUUUGGUUGUAAAGCACUUUAAGCGAGGAGGAGGCUACCUGGAUUAAUACUCUAGGAUAGUGGACGUUACUCGCAGAAUAAGCACCGGCUAACUCUGUGCCAGCAGCCGCCGUAA
rnacentral:rRNA from 1 species